rnacentral:rRNA from 1 species
UCUUUCGGGAAGCUGACGAGUGGCGCACGGGUGCGUAACGCGUAUGCAAUCUGCCUUGUACUGGGGUAUAGCCCAGGGAAACUUGGAUUAAUCCCCCAUAGUAUAGAUGAGUGGCAUCGCUUAUUUAUUAAAGGUUACGGUACAAGAUGAGCAUGCGUCCUAUUAGCUAGUAGGUGUGGUAACGGCACACCUAGGCUACGAUAGGUAGGGGUCCUGAGAGGGAGAUCCCCCACACUGGUACUGAGACACGGACCAGACUCCUACGGGAGGCAGCAGUGAGGAAUAUUGGACAAUGGGCGGAAGCCUGAUCCAGCCAUGCCGCGUGCAGGAAGACGGCCCUAUGGGUUGUAAACUGCUUUUAUACGGGAAGAAUAAGGACUACGUGUAGUCCGAUGACGGUACCGUAUGAAUAAGCACCGGCUAACUCCGUGCCAGCAGCCGCGGUAAUACGGAGGGUGCAAGCGUUAUCCGGAAUCAUUGGGUUUAAAGGGUCCGUAGGUGGGCCAAUCAGUCAGUGGUGAAAGUCUGCAGCUCAACUGUAGAACUGCCAUUGAUACUGUUGGCCUUGAAUUGUUAUGAAGUAGCUAGAAUAUGUAGUGUAGCGGUGAAAUGCAUAGAUAUUACAUAGAAUACC